rnacentral:rRNA from 1 species
GAUGAACGCUAGCGGCAGGCUUAAUACAUGCAAGUCGAGGGGCAGCAUGAUUGUAGCAAUACAAUUGAUGGCGACCGGCAAACGGGUGCGGAACACGUACACAACCUUCCAACAAGUGGGGGAUAGCCCAGAGAAAUUUGGAUUAAUACCCCGUAACAUAGCGAUGUGGCAUCACAUUGCUAUUAUAGAUUUUUCGCUUGUUGAUGGGUGUGCGGCUGAUUAGAUAGUUGGCGGGGUAACGGCCCACCAAGUCUACGAUCAGUAGCUGAUGUGAGAGCAUGAUCAGCCACACGGGCACUGAGACACGGCCCAGACUCCUACGGGAGGCAGCAGUGGGAAAUAUUGGACAAUGGGGGGAACCCUGAUCCAGCCAUGCCGCGUGUGUGAAGAAGGCCUUAUGGUUGUAAAGCACUUUAAGCGAGGAGGAGGCUACUGAGACUAAUACUCUGGGAUAGUGGACGUUACCCGCAGAAUAAGCACCGGCUAACUCUGUGCCAGCCGCCGCGGUAAAAC